rnacentral:rRNA from 1 species
AUUGAACGCUGGCGGCAGGCCUAACACAUGCAAGUCGAGCGGAUGAAGGGAGCUUGCUCCUGGAUUCAGCGGCGGACGGGUGAGUAAUGCCUAGGAAUCUGCCUGGUAGUGGGGGAUAACGUCCGGAAACGGGCGCUAAUACCGCAUACGUCCUGAGGGAGAAAGUGGGGGAUCUUCGGACCUCUCGCUAUCAGAUGAGCCUAGGUCGGAUUAGCUAGUUGGUGGGGUAAAGGCCUACCAAGGCGACGAUCCGUAACUGGUCUGAGAGGAUGAUCAGUCACACUGGAACUGAGACACGGUCCAGACUCCUACGGGAGGCAGCAGUGGGGAAUAUUGGACAAUGGGCGAAAGCCUGACCCAGCCAUGCCGCGUGUGUGAAGAAGGUCUUCGGAUUGUAAAGCACUUUAGGUUGGGAGGAAGGGCAGUAAGUUAAUACCUUGCUGUUUUGACGUUACCAACAGAAUAAGCACCGGCUAACUUCGUG